GAUGAACGCUGGCGGCGUGCUUAACACAUGCAAGUCGAACGGAAAGGCUCCUGCUUGCAGGGGUACUCGAGUGGCGAACGGGUGAGUAACACGUGGGUGAUCUGCCCUGCACUUCGGGAUAAGCCUGGGAAACUGGGUCUAAUACCGGAUAGGACGAUGGUUUGGAUGCCAUUGUGGAAAGUUUUUCGGUGUGGGAUGAGCUCGCGGCCUAUCAGCUUGUUGGUGGGGUAAUGGCCUACCAAGGCGUCGACGGGUAGCCGGCCUGAGAGGGUGUACGGCCACAUUGGGACUGAGAUACGGCCCAGACUCCUACGGGAGGCAGCAGGGGGGAAUAUUGCACAAUGGGCGCAAGCCUGAUGCAGCGACGCUGCGUGGGGGAUGACGGCCUUCGGGUUGUAAACUCCUUUCGCUAGGGACGAAGCGCAAGUGACGGUACCUGGAGAAGAAGCACCGGCUAACUACGUG
rnacentral:rRNA from 1 species